rnacentral:rRNA from 1 species
UACAGAGGGUGCAAGCGUUGUUCGGAAUUACUGGGCGUAAAGCGCGUGUAGGCGGCUCGGCAAGUCAGGCGUGAAAGCCCGGGUCAACCUGGGAACCGCGCUUGAGACUGGAGAACUAGAGUUCGGGAGAGGAUGGUGGAAUUCCCAGUGUAGAGGUGAAAUUCGUAGAUAUUGGGAAGAACACCGAUGGCGAAGGCAGCCAUCUGGACCGACACUGACGCUGAGGCGCGAAAAGCGUGGGGAGCAA